AAGGCGAGGCAGAGAUGCGUAGUCGAUGGGAAACAGGUCAAUAUUCCUGUACCGAUUCUAGAUGCGAUGUGGGGACGGAGAAGGUUAGGUCAGCCAUCUGUUGGAAUAGGUGGUUUAAGCGUGUAGGUGUGCCCCUUAGGCAAAUCCGGGGGGCUUAGCUGAGGCGUGAUGACGAGCUCUCUUUGAGAGCGAAGUGAUUGAUACCCUGCUUCCAGGAAAAGCCACUAAGCUUCAGUCUAGAAUUGACCGUACCGCAAACCGACACAGGUGGGCAGGUAGAAGAUACUAAGGCGCUUGAGAGAACUCAGGAGAAGGAACUCGGCAAAUUGAUACCGUAACUUCGGGAGAAGGUAUGCCUCGGUAGCUUGUAGGAGUACAUCCGAAGGGCGAAGAGGCCGCAGAGAAUCGGUGGCUGCGACUGUUUAUUAAAAACACAGCACUCUGCA
rnacentral:rRNA from 1 species